GUUUUGUGCAUUCUGGAGAGAAUAUGGGGAAAUGCUGUGGCGUGAUGAGUAACAUAUGCCUGGAGAAUAUUCAGAUUUUGGAAGAAGCACGAAAAUGAUUUACUGAUUUAGGAACUGGGUGGAGUAGACCACAAAAAGACAAAUCAAAAACAUCUGGAAUGAACUAGUUGAGAGAGAAAAAGAGAGAGCAAGAAAAAAAGCGGGAGCCGGCAAGAGGGAGCCUCAGCCAACACUACAUCAGAGGCACAUUGUGGAUGGAGGAAAUGAGUUUAGUCAAGCCAGCUGUGACUUCAAAGGGGC